UACGGAGGGUGCGAGCGUUGUCCGGAAUCACUGGGCGUAAAGGGCGCGUAGGCGGCGCGAGUAGUCAACGGUGAAAGCCCGGGGCUCAACCCCGGGUCGGCCGUCGAUACUCUCGUGCUUGAGCACUGUAGAGGCAGGUGGAAUUCCGGGUGUAGCGGUGGAAUGCGUAGAGAUCCGGAAGAACACCGGUGGCGAAGGCGGCCUGCUGGGCAGUAGCUGACGCUGAGGCGCGACAGCGUGGGGUAGCAAAACAGG
rnacentral:rRNA from 1 species